GUUCAUACAGAAGUGUUUGAUUUAAUACUUCCCUACAAGAAGCAUUUGAUUGGAUGCUCAUAACUUAAAUGGAAUGGACAUUCAUCGAGGAAGCAACACUUCCAGAAUUAUGUUGCGGGAGGAGGCUUGGGUGACACCUCAGUGUGUCUUGGUGCUGGGGGAAAAGGAGUGCAUGCUUGUAUUCCAAACGCUACAGUGUUCCUUUUUAAUCAGUGAAUGUUGGUAAAACUUUCAGUUAAGU